CGGCAAAAUGACUCCGUAACUUCGGAAUAAGGAGUAGCUUUUUUAAGUUAAAACUUUUAAAAGCUGUCACAAAAUCGAGGACAGCGACUGUUUAAUAAAAACACAGGUCUCUGCUAAUUUGAAAAAAGAAGUAUAGAGACUGACGCCUGCCCGGUGCUGCAAGAUUAAGAGAAAAAGUUUUGGCUUUGACUUUAACUCCCAGUAAACGGCGGCUGUAACUCUGACGGUCCAAAGGUAGCGAAAUUCCUUGGCAUUUAAUUGGUGUCCUGCAUGAAUGGCGUAACGACU
rnacentral:rRNA from 1 species